rfam:Astyanax mexicanus Tnplaced_Scaffold3592, whole genome shotgun sequence.
AUGAAGCACUGUUGUAAGUCACUUUGGAUAAGAGCGUCUGCUAAAUACCUUAAA